rnacentral:misc_RNA from 1 species
UUGAAUUUAUUUUUUAAAUGUUUAUAUUAUUUGAAUAAAACAUUCAAAUAAUAUAAAAAAUAAUAUAUAUAUUGACAUGGAUUAAACAAAGAUAUAUAUUAUUCUAUGUUGUAUGAACAAAUUGGCAAAAUAGAGAUGGAAGAUAAAAAUAUGGUCAAAGUAAUAAGAGUCUAUGGUGAAUGCCUAGGAGCUUUAAGGCGAAGAAGGUCGUGGUAAGCUGCGAAAAGCUUGGGGGA